rnacentral:rRNA from 1 species
CAGUAGCCACGGUAAUACGUAGGUGGCAAGCGUUGUCCGGAAUUAUUGGGCGUAAAGGGCUCGCAGGCGGUUUCUUAAGUCUGAUGUGAAAGCCCCCGGCUCAACCGGGGAGGGUCAUUGGAAACUGGGAAACUUAAGUGCAGAAGAGGAGAGUGGAAUUCCACGUGUAGCGGUGAAAUGCGUAGAGAUGUGGUGGAACACCAGUGGCGAAGGCGACUCUCUGGUCUGUAACUGACGCUGAGGAGCGAAAGCGUGGGGAGCGAACAGGAUUAGAUACCCCGGUAGUCCCUGUCUCUUAUAC